rnacentral:rRNA from 1 species
CCUACGGGGAGCAGCAGUGGGGAAUAUUGGACAAUGGGCGAAAGCCUGAUCCAGCCAUGCCGCGUGUGUGAAGAAGGCCUUCGGGUUGUAAAGCACUUUCAGUGGGGAAGAAAGCCUUGGGGCUAAUACCCUCGAGGAAGGACAUCACCCACAGAAGAAGCACCGGCUAACUCCGUGCCAGCAGCCGCGGUAAUACGGAGGGUGCGAGCGUUAAUCGGAAUUACUGGGCGUAAAGCGCGCGUAGGCGGUCUGAUAAGCCGGUUGUGAAAGCCCCGGGCUCAACCUGGGAACGGCAUCCGGAACCGUCAGGCUAGAGUGCAGGAGAGGAAGGUAGAAUUCCCGGUGUAGCGGUGAAAUGCGUAGAGAUCGGGAGGAAUACCAGUGGCGAAGGCGGCCUUCUGGACUGACACUGACGCUGAGGUGCGAAAGCGUGGGUAGCAAACAGGAUUAGAUACCCGGGUAGUC